AAAUUUCUGUUUUAGAUAUGAUUCGCGGCGAUAAAAGUAAAGACUCGAAAAUAAUCAGAUCAUGGAUUGGUCAAAAACUUAUCCUUAAAUGCGACGUUAAGCACGGCAAUAAUAUUAGACCCCUAUUCAAAUGGUACAGACGAUCAGGUAAUACUGUAGAAAAUCUUUUCGCUCCAAACAACACGGGGAUUAUGAAAAUCAAAAAAGUUAAUACCACGCACUUCGGCGAGUACAUCUGUGAAGCAAGAACGCGUAUGGUGACAGUGAGCCAAACGUUCAGAGUUGGUAAAUUAGGUACGAAAUAUUAAUGUUGGGUUAUAGCUAGUGUAUGUAGCGA